rnacentral:rRNA from 1 species
UACGUAGGGUGCAAGCGUUGUCCGGAAUUAUUGGGCGUAAAGAGCUCGUAGGCAGCUCGUCGCGUCGGCUGUGAAAACCUGGGGCUCAACCCCGGGCCUGCAGCCGAUACGGGCGAGCUAGAAUUCGGUAGGGGAGACUGGAAUUCCUGGUGUAGCGGUGAAAUGCGCAGAUAUCAGGAGGAACACCGGUGGCGAAGGCGGGUCUCUGGGCCGAUAUUGACGCUGAGGAGCGAAAGCCGUGGGGAGCGAACAGG